UUGUGCGCCGACCCCAUCUGAGUGCAGCGCGCACACGCAUAGAGGCGAUACACGUUCGCACCUGGCGCGUGCCACCCCUUUACGCUGCGCCCUCUCUCGUGCUCCCGCGCACCUCCUCUCUUCUCUGCACCCCCCUCCCUCCGUCCUGGAACUGGCACGUCAAUGUCAUCCACUGACAUCCGCAGCACCAACGACAUCACCUCAACGGUGGUGUCGGACACCAAUGAGUCCUUUGCCACGUCCUCCGGUGGCGCGAACAGCACGGCAAACACGCUCACCACCGAUGGCAUCAUCCGCGAGUGCAUUAAGCAGGGUUUUUAUCGCAACCCCAUCUGCAACGAGAAGCUGUACUUGCACAAUCGUGGCUACGACAGCAUUGCCCCCACCGCCUUCGAGCCCUACACCGACGUAAAAGUGCUCUGGUUGGAGGGCAACGGACUCUCGGUGCUGCCGUGCGGCGGGGGCUAUACGCAGGUGCGCCCGCCAGCGCGCGUGGACCCGUUUGCGUCGGAGCUGGAGGCAGCCGAGGCUGAGCGGGCCGCAGUGCCGGCUGAGCCUUUGGCACAGCACGUAGACCCCAACACAGAGGCGAUGCGCCACCAAGACGCGCUCUCGCCAGACAGCGUUGCUCAGAAAGAGUCCUCGCUUCCGCUGGCGGCCGAUGUGCCGCCAGCGGACCGCGACGCCUUCAGCUCCCUCUACCCAACCGUGCGCCAGCUGUACCUGCACAACAAUCUCUUCCGAUCCAUGCCGGACCUCUCGCGGUUCGAGAGACUGGACACGGUGAACUUAUCAGGCAAUUUCUUCAAGACGGUAGAGCCGCACUGUGCCCACUACGACUCCGCGGUGCGCCAGCACCAUGCCAGCGAGGUGGCAGACGGCACAUCACCGACGUCGGCAAUGACCUCCGGUGCGAGUCUCUUGCUCUCCAAAAGCCUGCAGCGCGAGCAGGAGCAGCGGCGGCAGCAGGUGUCGCAUGACCCUUACAGCGCAGGCGGGACUGCGCCUUCCGAGGAUCUGACCGUGGUCGCCUUGCCAGAAGACGCUAAGCGGCAGCGUGCCGUGCAGCUGGAGCGCUACCGCCACACCGCCGAUGUCUUCUCGGUCUUCUGCGGGCACAGCCCACUGCCGGAGAGCGAGGAGGCGGAGGAGGCAAGGGAUGAGGACCACCAGCGCAGAGUCUCAUCCUUGCCCCUCAAGCAGCCGCCACCGCCGGCGCCGGAGCACCGCAACCCGUGCAGCUCGCUGCGCAGUCUCAACCUGGCGGGCAACCGCCUGCAGGGCUUCGAGGACUGUCUCGGGCUUCUCUGCUACCGCUCGCUGGCGGUGCUGGACCUCAGUCACAACCACAUCGCGGACGGCGAAGCACUGCUGCUGAUCCUCGAGCGCCUGCCGCGCCUGCAGUCGCUCAAGCUCUCCGGCAACCCGCUCGUCCGGUCGCUCCCGCGCUACCGCAAGCGCGUCCUUUCGCGGUGCAAAAGGCUGCUUCACUUGGACGACCGCCCGGUAUUUGCCGAGGAGCGCCGUGUGGUCACGGCGUGGGCCAUCGGCGGCGACGACGGAGAGGAGAAGGAGCGGCACGCGAUUCAGGAAGAAAGGGCCGCGGCGGAGAAGCAGCGGCUGGAAGACUUCCGCCGCCUCAUCUCACGCCAUCAGCGCGCCGGCGCUGCUGAGGCGCCGCACGAGGACUACAUAAACGCCAUCACCACGGUGGCAGCGCUGUCGACAGCCGCGGACACGGCCGACAGCCGCGGCCGGAACCGCGCCGGUCGAAGCUCCAGAGAGACUGGGCGGCGGCACGGCCGUCCGCCGACGUCCGAGCUCGACUCCUCUUCCACCAGCUCUGAAAGUGAAGAUGACGCUGACGACGACAACCAAGCCGGCAGCGGCACAGGUGGGCGGUCAGCCGCGGCAAUGAGGGCAAUAAUGAUGAAUGUGAGCAAUACUGAUGCGCAGGCCGACGCCUCUGAUGCUGCCGCAGUUGGGAUGAUCGCCAGCCAACACGAGAACAAGCCGCUCAGAGAGGUUCGAGCCGCAUCGUCGUCGCAGCUGCAGCAGCAGCAGCGUGUGCUGAGUUCGAAUCAGCGUGUCGAGGCGGCAGCCUCGACCGCCACAGGCGCAGGCGAUGACAGCGAGAACGACGACAUUUUCGUUCCCAGUGCGGUGUAAAGAGAAAGGCGGAGUGAAAGACGACGACGAUGUGGAGGAGGGGCAGACACAGAAUGGAAACACCCCCUGUUGGCUUGUGCGUGCGUUGGGUGUGUAGGUGUGUGUCCUGCUGGCGUCUGCCGUUGUGACGCUUCUGGUAGCCGGUGUGUCACUUGCGGCAACCGCCGACUUAGCGGCUGGCCGAGAUGCACGCCAGCACCAUCCGCACUGCGGUUGUUUUCCUUUGAUUAGUCGGACACGCCGCUAUUCCGGCCACCACUAGCCCCCUCCCCCUCCCCCAGCCUAGCAUCCGUUUCGCCAGCGGUAAGGCAACUGCUAUGGUCGGGCUUUUUCUUUGAUGUCCCAUUCUCCUAUACCUGUGCUGGGCGACGCAGCUCGAGAAAGAGCAUCCGUAUCAGCGGCUUGGUCACAGUGGUAGUGGUGGUACGGCCAUGAUACACCUUUGCUGGUGCCUGCCUCCCUCAUCCGCAGCCGAGUCUCGAGCUCGAGGCGCAUGUAGAAAGGAUAGACUGAGUCUAGUGUUCAUGGAAGCGGGGCGCUUGCGGACAGGCACGCACACGCAUGCGCACAUGGCGCAGCGAGCCCCGCCAUCCUCUCCCUUCCUCGCGUCUUUUUGCUCUGUUUCACAUGUACAUACUUUAAGAGAAGGGAGGAGGAAGGGGGGUGCACUGGUGCUCCGCCGUGCUGCUCCGUGUCUGUGCAGCUUACACGGCACCUAAGGGGGAUAAAGUACGCAGUAGAGACGGUGGAAAGAGCGUGUGCAUGGAUGGAUGCAGCAGACGUACUCUUGCGUGAUCACAAGAAAAGGAGCGUGCAUCGCAGCAGAAAAGAGAGGGGAAGGGACGCAAGGAAACGAGCUGCACACCUGCACAUCCUGCGGUCACUUCGGGGCGUGAUUGCUUCUUCGGUCUAGUGAGGUCAAGUGUGCGUGUGUGGCGAACAGCGCACCCCGCCCUGCUUCUCCCGGCCCCCUCCUUACUCAGACAGAGACAGCGGCAGGGGCAUGCUAGCUCUUCUUCCUCUGCUCGCCCGCUCAGUAUGGGGUGGGUUUAUGAAAGAGAGAAG
rnacentral:misc_RNA from 1 species